CAAACUUAUAGUUGCCAACGACGACAACUACGCUCUAGCUGCUUAAUGCGGCUAGCAGUCGCUAGGGGAUGCCUGUAAACCCGAAACGACUGUCAGAUAGAACAGGAUCGCCGCCAAGUUCGCUGUAGACGUAACGGCUAAAACUCAUACAGCUCGCUCCAAGCACCCUGCCACUCGGGCGGCGCGGAGUUAACUCAGUAGAGCUGGCUAAGCAUGUAGAACCGAUAGCGGAGAGCUGGCGGACGGGGGUUCAAAUCCCCCCGGCUCCACCA
rnacentral:tmRNA from 1 species